GCCCAAAAAAAGGCCAACCGGGUCAGAGGGACAAGCGAGGACAGGGAAAGAACACCAGUCACCAACGCCACGCCACCACCGAGCCGGGGGCCGAGCGAGGCCGGAGAGCAAGCACCCGCACACGCCAGCAGCAGCCAGCAGCCAAGCAAAACGAAGACCAGAAUCACAUCACGCAGCUACAAGCCAGCUACCAGCACAGCGAGCACGCGGAGCUAGAAGCUCCGUCAGCAGCAGGGAGCUCAGCCCCGUCGGCCGUCGCGCCCAGCGGCAGCGCUCCCGUCUCUUCCACCGAUCGCUGCUCCCCCCUCGUCGUCCUACGCGAGCACCAGCAGCAGCAGCAAAGUUAGCUCUCCUGUUGGUUGAUUUGUGUACUGGGGCAUACUGGAUUGGAGGAGCAAUAAAACUUGAAGAACCCGAGAAGUACUUUGAAUUUAAAUUUAUGUUCUGAUUGUAUGGAAUCCUGUUCCUGAGAGAUGCCAUCAUCCACGCCACCACUGCCACAAAAUUUGCUCCCACUACCAUCACCGGUGGUUGGGCAGAGCACUCGUAUUAACCUUGUGGACAUCAAACUAAAACUAGUCAAGAGAAUUGGUCCAGAGCAGGCAAAGAAGUACUUUGAGCACCUGCAGAGGUUUUUGUCUUCGAAACUUAGCAAGACUGUGUUUGACAAGCUAUGUCUCACGAUACUUGGUCAUGAAAAUGUUCAGCUUCAUAACCACCUUAUUCGCUCUAUUCUCCACAAUGCCUGCCAAACAAGUGGGCCGCCCACGGUCAGUGCACCUAAAUCAAUUGGAGCUGCCAAGAAUUCAAAUCAUGUCUUAGUUCCUACAGUUCUGGUCUCUGAAAAUGGUGAUGUUCUGCGUCAACAUGUGAAGGCCCACUGUCCACAAGGCAGAAAUGCAGAUGUUGUCGAGGAGAAUGGUGUUGUGCAUUUGACCAAACUGAAGAGAUUUCCACAGCCUGAACAAAGUGACCUUGUGGAACCACUGUCCAAAAGAUUACGUGUGGAAAAUGCAUAUUCAAAUUUAUCUGAGUCCCCAAAUAGCAACUGUCUUGAUGUUGUUGACAGAGAAAAUAUGGAAGCGAUUGCACAGCAAGCUCGAGAUCCAAUAACUGCCCCACUAGGGGUUGCCUUCUGCUCUGGUAGUUUUGGUGGGAGUUGGAAAACUUCAACAUUUUCCUCUAGUGUUGGCAGUGAUAACUCUGUUUGUUGCUAUGACCUUGGUCAGCUGUGCGAUACUUCAUCACUGAGACAGCGGAUGGGGAGAAUAGCAGAAACAGAAGGGUUAGAUGGUGUGUCAUUAGAUUGUGCUAAUUUAUUGAAUAAUGGAAUUGAUUUGUUCUUGAAACAGCUUAUUGGAUCUUGUAUUGAACUAGUUAGGUCAAGAUCUCAGCAUGAUCGAAUAAAUCAGAUGGCACUAAAGCAACGGUUAAGUAGAAAGCUAAUAAAUGGUGUACAGCUGCAAAAUCAGGUGCAUGGUCGAAGUGCCAAUACAUGUCCACAAAUCAGCUCCAUUUCAUUGCAAGACUUCAAGGCUCUAUCAGAGCUAAAUCCUCAGUUGCUUGGAGUCAAUGCGUCACUGCUACUUGAAAAAAUGAAUUCAUAUGACUAAUCAGAUAGGAUCCAAGUGAAUUAAUCUUUCUACAGAGAUUAAUCUUUGCCUAGCAGGCAUGAGGAUUGCAAGCUUGAAAUCCUAUCUUGGUCAAAUGCACCUUCCUUAUUGUACCUUUGGCAACAAUUAAGCCUGAACCAACGCCCUCUGUUUCCUGUGUGAGUUGUAGCACCACUCAGAAAAUGCAUCAAGCUGAGGUUGGAGUACCAAACAUGAAACACCACAGUGAUAAAGUGUGAGCCUUGCCAGCUAGCGUGCUUCUCCAAAAAUUUUCUGGUCACAGCAAAGUACCUGACUUGCUUCCAUGCAUAUCUGCAGCUGAGGUCUUCCUGUUUCAUCUCUCUUGCACUACAGCAAAGUCCAAGCCUGCCUCCAUAACUUACUGCAGCUGAGAUGUUGCUUCCUGUUUCAUCUCCAUUACUCAAAUGACGUUUUGACAUUCUCUGUCUCAUAUGUAGCAGACACCAAAUCUUCUCAGCGUGGUGUUUCGUAUGAUGCCUGGAGUAUGUUUUCAUAAUUUGUUGAUGGGCAGUGGAAGGUGCUAAUGAACAUUGUACAGUAUCCUGCUUCUGGUGAAGUCCACAGCCCACUAUUAAGACUGCUCCAUCAAAAUGAAUGAAGAUCACAUAACUUCUAGAGACUGUUGAUUAUACAAAGACACCAAUUUUGGCUUUUAUGCACUGUGGCAAGAUUGCGCACACAACUAUGGUGGUGCGGGGUUCAAAACAGAUUUAGAACAGGGCCUUCCAGCAUUAAGAGAAGUGAUCUAUUGCAGAUCAACAGGGUCAGGGAGCCGUUCUUGCAAGUGUUCUUCUAUGGAAGAGUACCAGGAGCACGGGUCGAAGAUGCAUCUUGAGAUUUUCCAGCUCCAAGAGGUCCUGCCACUGAUCUCUGAGUUUUCAGCUUCACAGAAGAUGUUGCCAUCUUCUCGAUACCAGGCCUUGUAGAGAGGUUACUCUUCUGCACGAUGGAUGGCGAUUUUGCUGUCCUGGUCAUAUUCUUAGAUGAAGCAUUUGGUGUUGCAAGGGCUGCAGGCCACACAGAUGUGGCACCAGGCUUCUCUACUUUUUUCCUCAUUGUGUUGCAUUGCUUUGCACUGGCCAGAGAAGCAGAGUGCAGUGUCUUUCCGUGAGUGGAAGAAGAGCCCGAGCCAGACGUGGACCGGGAUGAGGUGGUGCGCGUGCUGAACGAUGAUGAGGGUCGACAUGUGUUCGAUGAGCUUGAGGCAGGGGAUGGGGAUAAUCUGCGAUCAGGAGAGGUUGGGACGGACCUUGCACGCCGUAGCGCUUGGUCAGACUCGCUUGAUUUGAGCCCUGGGGACAUAUUCCGGACGCCCUGGUUGACCCUAGCAUUUGGUUGAGGCUCCCUCCUUGAUGUUGCCAUUGUGUCUAAGCUAUUCUGCCAACAAUUAAAAAAUGCAGAAAUUAAUGACGCUUCAAGUACUAUCUCUAUCUGCCUCUGGGUUAUGAACUGCAACCAUUUUGAUGCCAUCACUGAAAAAAUUUCAUCUAGGAGAGCAGGCAAAUAAUUGUGGACAAUAGACGGCAAGGCACAAAGGGUGAUGGAUAGAAAGGAAAUGGCGCGGUUCGAGACAUCAUACAAUCCCCAAUUGAUGCCUACCAUCCAUGCUCAGAUGCAAUGAUCAAGAAUGAAAAUUCGGUAGCCAGGGGGAUCUAAAUUACGCUGCCAUUCUGCCAAUAAAGAGGCCAGGAAACCGUACCUGAGCUGAUCUCAGAGCUGCUCACCAGAACCCCGGAUGCUGAUCAAUCUCUGCAAUUCAAGGUCAAGAAUUCAAGCCGGAGAGAACAGAAAAUUUGCGUUGCGGUUCCCACUUUUUAUGGCCUGCCGCCUGCACCUGGAGGAUCCAGGUGGUUGCGGCGUUGAAAUAGCCUGAGAAAGGGCACUGGCUGAAAAGGCUCUUGAAUGUUUGGCCCUUAUGCUUCCGUUUGUUGGCUCCGGUGGACGUUCCAUAAAUAGUCAGCUGAGACGCCCCUCCAUUCAUGAUUCAUGGGCCUGUGGAUCAGCCGUUUCGUGUUUUCUAGCCUAAUAACGGAAGGCGCGGUUACAUGCCCGCCUGUCUCUGAACUUUAAUUUUGUUGCUGGCACGCGUGUUCCCUGCUGCGGAUGUUGCAUGUCCGUAUCCUUGUGUCACAUGUUGCCGCAGGAGAUGACAUGAGUUUAGCAUGCGAUGUGUACACUUUAGGUAUGCCAUGCAAUUAUGCUCCUGGGCAUCGUGGGGGCUCAAUCCUUUAUGUUGUGAUGAUCAUUGACCAGUGUUCUGAAGAAAAGGUAUGCCUAUGGAAUUGGUAUACUUGUGUUGUUGAUC